AGAGUUUGAUCCUGGCUCAGGAUGAACGCUAGCUACAGGCUUAACACAUGCAAGUCGAGGGGCAGCAUUUUAGUUUGCUUGCAAACUAAAGAUGGCGACCGGCGCACGGGUGAGUAACACGUAUCCAACCUACCGAUAACUCUGGAAUAGCCUUUCGAAAGAAAGAUUAAUACCGGAUAGUAUACGAAUAUCGCAUGAUAUUUUUAUAAAGAAUUUCGGUUAUCGAUGGGGAUGCGUUCCAUUAGUUGUUGGCGGGGUAACGGCCACCAAGACUACGAUGGAUAGGGGUUCUGAGAGGAAGGUCCCCCANAUUGGAACUGAGACACGGUCCAAACUCCUACGGGAGGCA
rnacentral:rRNA from 1 species